CUUGUGCACAAUUCUAAAAUAAUUUAUAUUAAGGGACGGAGGAAGUAAUUGACUUUAUAGAAGAACAAAUUUGUUCUAAUUUAUUUGUCGUUUAUAAGAGCAAAUCCAAUGGUAAUGUCAAAAUAGCUAUAGUCAUUGCUAUAUUUUGGCACCAAAACGUGCUUUUUGGUGCUAAAAUAGAACCCAGUCUCCAGUGCUUGGUUCUAUUUUAGCACCAAAUUAUUUCAAAUUUAACUAUUUUUCCCUCCAUCUCAUUGUUAAUUACUUUUUCAACUCCAAUUCAACUAUAUACGUUAUUUUUCAAUCCACAAUUAUAGCACCUCCAUUCCACCAUUUUCAACCACCAUUCAACCUAGAUAUUUUUAUUAUCUAGCUUUCUCAUCUAACUUUCCUCAACCACCAUUCUACCCAACUUUCUCAUCUUACUUUCUUCAACCACCAUUCUAUCCAACUUUUCUAUAAAUACACAUUCAACCUCAAUAAGCCACCACACCCAUUCUCAUCUACCUGAUAUACUUUUAUUUCCAAACUAAAAUUAUGAACAAGUUAACCAAGAGGGUAUUGCGGGGAGAUUUCGACGAAGAUUCCUCCGAUGAAGAUGAAGUUGCAAUCGUGAAGAUGCUACUGAUGAACCACUACGAGCAAACGCAAAGCCAUAAUAACCAACAAGGGGGUUAUGUUGGUUCUGUCAGUGGCCGAGCU
rnacentral:lncRNA from 1 species